GACGAACGCUGGCGGCGUGCUUAACACAUGCAAGUCGAACGGCAAGGCCCUGCUUUUGUGGUGUGCUCGAUUGGCGAUCGGGUGCGUAACACGUGAGUAACCUGCCCUUGACUUUGGGAUAACUUCACGAAACUGGGGCUAAUAUCGGAUAGGAGCUCCUGCUGCAUGGUGGGCGUUGGAAAGUUUCGGCGGUUGGGGAUGGACUGGCGGCUUAUCAGCUUGUUGGUUGGGUAGUUGCUUACCAAGGCUUUGACGGGUAGCCGGCCUGUGAGGGUGACCGGGCACAUGAGGACUAAGAGACGGCGCAGACGGGUACGGGAGGCAGUAGGGGGGAAUAUGACACAAUGGGCGGAAGCGUGAUACAGAGGCGUCGGGGGCGGGAAGACGGCCUGUGGGGUGUAAACAGCUGUCGCCUGUGACGAAGCGGGAGUGACGGUAAUGGGUAAAGAAGCACCGGCUAACUACGUG
rnacentral:rRNA from 1 species